AUUUAUAUAGUAUAAAAGUAUAUAUGACUUCCAAUCAUAAGGUUUAUUAAUUUAAUAAUAUAAAUA
rnacentral:tRNA from 1 species